AUUGAUUUUCACAUGAAAAGCAAAUACAUCCAUUCUGUUUGCGCUGCCUCCCAGUUCUGUCUGCCUGUUGGGCGGGCGCAGAGUUUAAGUUUACCUUUCGACAUCAUGUUCCUUUGAUAAUCCUUAUAUAUGACUGAACCUCCAGCCUGAUGACUCCCUCUUUGUGGGGUGUCACCGACUGAGAAGAGGAGCAAACAUCGAGUGCCUGAUCCCUAGUGAGUCACUGAAAGGACACGGAGAGACUUACAUUGCCAGAUCGGCGGCAGGUUGGCGAGUAGAAGAGGGAGAGGAAGAGCAGAAAAGGAGGGGCCCUUUCAUUAUCAGCCAACAUGUCGUCUCAUGCUGCAUGGCUUUACCCAACCAGCCGUUGUCAUGGUAGCAACUUGUCAUGUCAUCUGCGUCUCACCUUGAAUGAGUGGUAGACCUGCGGGACGUGUGCCGUCCGCUGGGAGGAUGCAAAAGGAGGGAGGCGUAGUGGAAGUGCGUCAGCCCUGCGAGCAGCUGGGGACACACCCACGGCAACCUGCCUUACGGUUUGUGUGUGUAAAUGUGUGACUGCUUUUCCUGGGAAACGGCAAGAGAGGCCGGCUUCCUCAGGACCACGUUGUCACCACAGGGACAAAAUCAACAACAGCAGCAGUCGGCCAGCUGCUCCUACAGCUGAAAAUUGCACUUGGUUUGGUGGGCUCAUCAAGGAGCGCCAAGUCCUGUGGUUGUUUCUUAUCAAAAAGGACAUUUCAGUGGUUGAUUGCAUUCAUGAACCUUGGCCUACAGGCUACCACCACUGAGUUUCAGUUUUUAUAUGCCUAAAACCAGAUUUCAGUAUUUACAAUGCCUGUGCAGUAUGAAUUAUUAAGAUAUUCAAUAUUGCAGCGAAACAGGAUUGUUUUGCUAAUCUUUAGAGUGAAGUACAUAUACAUUUCUAUGAAGAGUAAACUGGAAAAACCUGUGAAACAUGCCUCUAUCCGACUGCAGGAGAGCCUUAGAUCGUGUGUAGCUUUUCUGUGACUAUGUGCAGUAUGCAUUGAUCAUGACUGAUCUUUUUUUUUGGCCUUAGCAGACAAGUGAAAAAAGUCAUCUUUAUUGGAACUGGGAAAGGUUUAACUUAUACAUCUGAAUACAGAAGAUUUUCUCUAUGUUUUUGCUAGUUUUACUCCACAUAGCACUGCUGAUCAGAAUGUCAAAUGUGAAUGCAUUGAGUACAGCUCCUCAUAUAUAACAAGAAUAAGAACACAGAGUAGGACACCCAUAGUGAAUAAAGCCAUGCACCCUG